rnacentral:misc_RNA from 1 species
AGUUCUCAACCAAGCCCUUGGGUUUGGCUUGGAUCUGGAAGCUGCUGGCGGAGGUCGGCUCUUCUGAAAUGCAUUAGCGAUCUACUACGGCCUUCCGGCGUGAUAACGAUCGUCGACGGCUUUGAUCGCUUCCAACGGGAAUGAUAUAUAAUC